GAGGUGGAAGGUGCAGUGAGCCAAAAUGGCGCCACUGCACUCCAGCCUGGGCAACAGAGUGAGACUCUGUCUCAAAAUAAAAUAAAAUAAAAUAAAAUAUCACAUAAAUGUCAGAGGAAAAGAUGGAGAAAUAAAAGCAAUCAAAAGAAGGAUGAGAGGCUGUGAAAGGCCCAUGUGCCCUGCUAACUGAGACUUGGUCAUGACCCAGUGGGCCUGCAUUUCCUACGGAGGAUAAAAAGCUAAAGAUUCAAUACCUCAGCUUCCUCAGAAGGAUACAGGUCUUCUUCUCACAUGAAAACAUGUUGAAAUUACUUUAAGAAAAAUCAAGUUGCAAAGAUGUAUAGAAAAAAUUGUGUGUGUGUGUGCGUGUGUGUGUGUGCGUGUGUGUGUGUGUGUGUGAAAGAGAGGCUGAAUUGUGCCUUGGCUCACCCCCGACCAAUUUGUACGUUGAAGCCCUAAUCCUCAGCCUCUCAGGAUGUGACUGUAUUUGGAAACAGAGCCUUCAAAGAGGUAAUUAAGGGUAAAUGAGGUCAUUAGAGUGGGCCGUAAUCUAACAGGACUGGUGUCUUUAUAAGAAAAGGAGAUUAGGACACAGACUCACACAGAGGGAAGACCAUGUGAGGACACAGGGAGAGGACGCGGCCACCCAAAAGCCAAGGAGAGAGGCCUGAGAAGAAACCAGCCCUCUCAACACCGUGAUCUUGCACUGCCAGCCUCCACAACUGUAGAAAGAUCUUUGGAUCCAAAAGAGAAGACUCUACAUUGGUUAGACUCAAAGCUCAAGAUAGGUGAAGAGGGAAGUACAUUAACUCUCCACGUGAAUGAGUGCUGGGCUCCAGUUUUGGAACAGAAUUUGCCGCAAGAUACUGAAAGAAUUUAGGAAUGAGAUUUCCAGGUUGCUCAAAGAGAGCUUUGAGGAUGUAUGGAGAAUAGUCAAAGUGUUAGAAGACUAGAAAUGGGCAAACAGUGUACAGUUUUUUGAAGGGAGAAGGUAGAUCCCCUAAACUAUAGGUGAAUGAGAUUGACAUUGCUUCCAGUCUCCCAGGCUGGGGUGCAGUGGCAUGAUCUUGGCUCACUGCAACCUCUGUCUCCCAGGUUCAAGCGAUUCUCCUGCCUCAGCCACCCAAGUAGCUGGGAUUACAGGCGUCCACCACCACGCCUGGCUAAUUUUUGUAUAUUUAGUACAGAAGGGGUUUUGCCAUGUUGGCCAGGCUGGCCUCGAACUCCUGACAUCAGGUGAUCCAGCCACCUCAGCCUCCCAAAGUGAUGGUAUGACAGGCAUGAGCCACCGUGCCCGGCCUGAAAAUAAUUUCAAAUGAAAUAUGAAAGGAAUGGUUCCCAAGCACGUAAAAGAAUCCUUUGCAAUUAUGAAACAGUACAGGUGCUCUGAGAACAAAUCAUGUCAGACAAAUGUUAUUUCCUCCUUUGACAUGGUUUCUCCAUGGUAGAUUUAGAGGAGAGAUGGACUCUGUGCAUCACCAGAUUAUAAGAACCUCAUGGAGCUUUCCUAAGGCAGAAUUAUGUGGCUCAUCUGUAAAUUAUCAGUGGUGUGCUGGGGUCGCCUCAUGCUGGCUCACAAGAGCUGUUUAUGCAUAUACAUCUCUUUCCAACUCUGUGUUCAAUGACAUCACCUUGGUAGUUUGAAAUCUGCCAUGGUAGGAAGUAGUUAUGCCAUGGAAAUCAGCAAACAUUACAAACAAACUAGGGUUUUUUUUUCUUCUGGGUAGUCAGCUGUUAAAACACUUACCGCCACAACACGGCAUCUACGGCAAGUAUCUGGUACAGUGCCAAGACACAGCAGGUGCUCAAUGAAUGUUGGCUGAAGAAAUAAAUAACUUGACCAAAAAACUAAACAGAGUCUCCCGUAAUAAAAUUGGGGUCAAGAUAGAGACAUCUUAGCUGCAUGCUAGCGCAAUGAAAAUUUUAAAAACAAACAAACAAAAAGAAAAGAAAAGAAAUAAAGAAAAAAGAAUCAAUGUCAAGUUGGAGGGAAUUUUCUAAGACUGGAAAAAAAAAAAAAAAACUCUGCCCUUGGUCCUGUGAGUCUUGAGUAAUCUUUGCCAAUGUAAAGUCCUGUUCUUGGAUUAAAUGAGAACUAAAGUAACAAAGCAAAUUAUAAAAUGCAGGGUGGGGUGGAGGUAGGAGAACAUAGCAGCAUGAGGUGUGAAAAGUGAAUCUCACUAUUCCAAACUGGCCAGAAGAUGAUUAAUGCAUUGUGCCCAGAUCCAGGUGUCACACAGUUGAGCAUUCAAAGAAGAGUCACUAGAGUGAUGGAAAACCAAAACUUGCCAGAUGAGGCUUGACAGAGGAAUUAUGAGUGUUUUCAUUGGAGAAGACUCAAAUGAGUGUGAGGUUGACCCCAAAUAUUUGAAUGAUUAUCACAUUGAUAGGGCCAUCACACUGCCCAACUCCAGGGACACUGUUUACACAGUAGUCUACGUGAAAAGCAGCAGACGCCCACAGCUGAGCAAUGUGCAGUCUGUACAACUGAAAGCACUUGUCCUGCAUAUGGCAAGGUAUCACUAUUUCAAAUAGUAGAAGCCCCUGAGAAUUAUGUUUCAGCUCAAUUUCGGCAAGACCCUCAGAACUGCUGAAGAAGAUCCCUCUUGCCUUCGAUGGAUUCAAAACAGAGGCUGAAUGGCCCAUGUCUUAGAGGUGGCAUAGGAAAUUCUGACAACAGAAAUUCUGAAGGAGGGUUUUUUGUUUGGUUUGGUUUGGGGUUUGUAUUUUUUUUUUUUUGUUUGUUUUUUUUGUUUGCUUGUUUGUUUGUUUUUUUUGAGACAGAGUCUCACUCUGUCGCACAGGCUGGAGUGCAGUGACGCAAUCUUGGCUCACUGCAACCUCUGUCUCCCAGGUUCAAGCCAUUCUCUUGCCUCAGCCUCCUGAGUAGCUGGGACUACAGACACGUGCCACCAUGCCCGGCUAAUUGAAGGAAGGUUUUCUUGGAUGACUUUUUACAUUUUUCUAACUCUGAGAUUCACUAGUCCCAGAGAUAGAAAUUGUCAUUUAUGGAGCUUCUACUUGUACUAGCUACUGUGUUGGGAGCUUUAUGUAUCUAAUUUAAUGUAAUAUUCAGAACAGCCCUACAAUGUGGAUAUUAUAUUUACAGAUAAGAAAUUGAGACUCACAUAUUAAUUCUUUGUCUGUAGUCAUUCAAUUAUUGAGAAAUUUAGCCAGGAUUUAAAGCUGAGAGUAUAUGAUUCCUUUGUUCUUCCUGGAACACUGGGGAUUGGAAGGAAAGCUCGCCACCUGCCAACCCCCCAUCCCAGAACUUUUGAUUGGCAAUGUGACAAGUCUCAACAGUGGUGGUCAUGUCUUAUAGGCAAGACUUCAUACAUUGCCUGAGCUGAUGACUCAGGCUGAAGACCUCCCCCUCUAGCCUUGGGAUACCUAGUGCAUGGGAUCAGACUCUUGCUUUGCUUCUUGCCUUGGGCUGUCAUCACAUAUUCACAAUGCCCUGAAGAAAAGGAAGAUGCUCAGGAAAACGUAGCCUCUGACCGAAUCCUCCUCUCUAGACUGAAGGUUGCGAGUCAGAUGGUUCUUUAUCCUUCCUCUCCACCUACUACACUGAAACUCCGGUCUUGACAGUGACUCUGUGGCUCACAAUCAGCCCCAGGAUUGCUUGCUUGCAUGGAGCCAGUGACAGACUGGAGCCAGUCCCUGGGAGCUACCAAGCAGCUGACAAACUGGGAAGCGUGAUCUUUGACUCAUUCAUCCAUUACCCAACUAAUCAGCACUGCAUAGCUUGGGUGUUCACAGUGUGUCACCGCACACCAGAGCCACACCUCUCCAUGGCUGGAACAGCUUGCCUUGCUGGCUCCUGAAGCAUUUAGAGGAUGUUUGUUGACUGGGAAGAACCAGUGCCUUGACUAUUACCUAAUGAGCUGUAUCCACCAGUCAUGUAACUCUCCAGUGUGAGAAUUUGGUUGUGGGCUGAUGUUGUGUCUUGGGCAAUUACUUUGGAUUUAUCUGGAGCCACCCCUGUUGACAGUGGCUAGCACUCACACCUAGGAUUAAAGUCUACUUAUUAUCAGAGGGCAAACACCUGUCCUCACAGUGAACACAACUACAAUUACAGUCAGGGAUUCAUAUCUCAUUCUCUUUCAGCCUCUCAAGUGCACAAUUUAUUUUUGGCCUUGCUAUUUUUCUGUCUGAAUUAUUUCCCUGCUAUCCAGGCACUCCAGAACCCAACAUUAUUCUGUUCCAUCCCACCACCACCAUUAUUGUCAUGUCUGUAAAUACACCAUCGAACCAUAAAAAUUGGCACUACAGACAAGACAAUGCACAGAAGGCUUGUCCAACAUAAAACAGAAACUGCCAUGAUGUUUCAACUCAAUAUCGUAUCCUCCCCCACCUUAAAUGAAGAGCUGUUGUAAUGUGUGGCACAAACAAUGGUAAGAAAUUGGUAAAAGGCGGUACUUAUCUUUAUUUUUCUAGAAGAUUCUAACAUUGUCUUGGAAUUCACCAACCUCAAAACUUUGUAAAGACAUCAUAAUGAAAUGCUGAAAGUGACUGAAAAAGGGCUGUACUACACACUAGUUAAAAAAAACCCACAGUGAGGCCGGG
rnacentral:lncRNA from 10 species